UACGUAGGGAGCAAGCGUUGUCCGGAAUCAUUGGGCGUAAAGCGCGCGUAGGCGGCCUCGUAAGUCCGUUGUGAAAGUCAAAGGCUCAACCUUUGAAAGCCGAUGGAUACUGUGAGGCUAGAGUCCGGAAGAGGAGAGUGGAAUUCCUGGUGUAGCGGUGAAAUGCGCAGAUAUCAGGAAGAACACCCGUGGCGAAGGCGGCUCUCUGGGACGGUACUGACGCUGAGAC
rnacentral:rRNA from 1 species